rnacentral:rRNA from 1 species
GACAGAGGAUGCAAGCGUUAUCCGGAAUCACUGGGCGUAAAGCGUCUGUAGGUUGUUUAAAAAGUCUGCAGUUAAAGGUUGAAGGCUUAACUUCAAAAAUGCCGUAGAAACUUUUAAACUAGAGGAUGGUAGGGGUAGAGGGAAUUUCCAGUGGAGCGGUGAAAUGUGUAGAUAUUGGAAAAGACCACCGAUGGCGAAGGCACUCUACUGGGCCAUGACUGACACUGAGAGACGAAAGCUAGGGUAGCAAAUGGG